GCCCGGUUAGCUCAGUUGGCAGAGCGCCAGGCUUUUAACCUGGUGGUCAUGGGUUCGAGCCCCAUAUCGGGUG